AUACGGAGGGUGCAAGCGUUACUCGGAAUCACUGGGCGUAAAGCGCGCGCAGGCGGCUAUUUAAGUUGGAUGUGAAAGCCUACGGCUCAACCGUAGAACUGCAUCCAAAACUAUUUAGCUAGAGUGUGGGAGAGGAAGAUGGAAUUAGUUGUGUAGGGGUAAAAUCCGUAGAGAUAACUAGGAAUACCAAAAGCGAAGGCAAUCUUCUAGAACACUACUGACGCUGAGGCGCGAAAGCGUGGGGAGCAAACGGGAUUAGAUACCCUAGUAGUCC
rnacentral:rRNA from 1 species